rnacentral:tRNA from 1 species
GAUAAAGUGUCUGACAAAAGAAUUAUUUUGAUAGAAUAAAUCAUGUGAAUUUUCACCUUUAUUA